CCCGCACACGGUUAAAGCCCGGAGCUGAGGCCUGAUUGGUCGAUGAACUCUGGGUGUCGGAAGUGUGCUACAGGAACACGGCAGAUUUUUCGCUAACACCAUGAGGAGCCGCACGGCCCCGAUGACUGGAGUUUGAUAGUAAUUCUCGCCACACGU